ACUUACAGAGCGCUAUAGAGAGUGUUCAGCAAUGUGUUCUCUCAUCAUGUGCCAUGUCCAACAUAGUUGCAGGUUUCAUCUGUACAUUUUUGAACAUCCUAGAGACGUGGGAAGGCAGCAAAACAGCAAUGCAGACAAAUUAAACAAGAGAAAAGGGAGCUCAGGACUGAACCAACUUUUCCCAGUGCUAAAUACUCCUCAUACACGGAACAGUAUGGUUCUCACAGUCACUGGCUUUUCAACACUUCCUUCCUCCCCAUUACCACUGCUUCUUUGCUGCGCUGAAAAAUCUCAGAACUUAAAGAUACAAGAAUGUAGACCAUGCUAAACUGUUGUUCGUACAGCAGACUGGAUUAAUUUGUGUUCAAUUUCUGAUGGAAAAUAAUAAAAGAGGGGGAAAUGCGUGUGCUGCAGUUAGGUUAAGAACCCAUGUGACAACAGAGUGGGGAUUUGGUUAUUGGGCUGACCGUUCCUCUUGUUUAUGCUGGGAACAUAGAAAAAAUAUUUUUUAAUUACAGGAAAAUGGAAACAGAAUAGCACAGCUUUCUUUAUAAAGUGAGUUCAAUAAAACCAAGUAAUUUAUCUCUUACUGUGGUUUCACAUCCCUUAGAUUCUGCUUGUAGGUGACAUCUCUGACUCACUGAGACUUCAACGAUUUCAUUUUCUUCUUGGUAAGUCUUUGGCCACCAGGACGGUGGUCAGCUAAUCAUUUCUACACUCUUUACUCCUAGUUUUAAACUAAUAAUUAAGCAUAUUUCCUAGAAGAAUGUCAGGGGGAAGUUCUUUGCUGAGAGAGUGGUGAGGUACUGGAACAGGUUGCCCAGAGUGGCUGUGGAUGCCCCGUCCUUGGAAGUGUUCAAGGCCAGGCUGGAUGGGGCCCUGGGCAACCCGAUCUAAUAAUUGAUCUAGCAGUUAUCAGCACCGCAUGUGGCAGGGGGGUUGGACUUGAUGAUCCUUGAGGUCCCUUCCAACUUAAGCCAUUAUAUGAUUCUAUGAAGACACACAUAUCUAAUCCAAGACAAAGACUUGUUACCCGUCAUCAUCUGCAAUAGAAGCCACACUUCUGGCACAGUGAACUGCUCCGUCUACUUGGGAUGCAGAGCCCCGAUAUGCCUUUCCCAUUGGAUUCUGAAGGUUUGUUUUUGUGUCAUAGAAAAGUAGGAGGUUCAAUGUUUAUUUUCUGAAUUUUGGAAAAUGUCUUCAGUUUGGGAAUUCUUAGUAUCAAUCUAAAACAUUCAAACUUCUUUUUUUUUUUUUUUUUUGGAAGGUAAUGGUAAUUAUACAUGGUACAAGAUUUUGAGAAAAAUUUGGGCUUUUAACAGGAAAAUUCCCAAUCCCUUUUAAUCUACUAUCAGACAGGUCUCCAAAAUGGAACGAUUCUCAGAAGCCCUUCAGUUAGCUUCUCCACUUUGCCAGCCCCAGCCUCCACAGUUCUGUAGUAGCCAACAAGUUACAGAAACCAUGAUAGUCACUGGCUUCUUUAGUCUACACUGGGUUUCUCAGAAUCUCGUCACAGCUUUAAUAUUCCUGUAAAGUCACAAUGUAGCAACAUGCAUAUUUAAGUAGGAUAUUUCAUUAAAUAUUACAAAUAUGUAUAAAACUAAGACCAGAGCAUAAAUUCAGGGUACUUCCAGCAUUUGCCAAUACUACUCCACGAAGACCGAGCUCAUGGAGUGACAGAAUAUCCCGAGUUGGAAGGCACCCAUAAGGACCAUCAAGUCCAGCUCCUGAAUCCAUACAGGACCACCCAAAAUUCAAGCACUACAUCUGAGAGCAAUGUCAAAAUGCUUCUUGAACUGCAACAGGCCUGGGGCUGUGACCACUUUACUGGGUAAUUCAGUAAAUGUGUGUGCGCCUUCCAGACCUGCUGCAGUAGGACUUGUCAUCAGCACUGCUUGCUGUGCAAUAGAGGCCACAUGGCCUUUCACUAGGGCCUGCCCCAGGCUAUGUAUUUUUUUUUCCCCUAAUUCCACCAUCUGCUUUCUCACUCAGGAUCUCAUCCACUGCACUUUUCCUUUUUACUCCCUGGUGGAAUUUCCUGCCUGUUUUCCACGAACACUUGUAGUCGCUCUGCUCACACUGGAGGAAAUCCUGACACAAGAGGAUUUUGAUUGAUUGAAUCUUCUUUGGAGAAUUAUUUUGUUUUUCAGUUUCUUAUACACUGACUGGGGGAUUCAACUCCAUGUUUUCAGAAAGCACUUGUUUGUAAUGAGAUCUAGUUAGCAGAGAAUGCAGAUGUCACCAUUACCUAUAGGUAAUCAGCUGAACUUCGUUGUUAGUACACUAGGAGACCCAUCAUAAACCAGUCUUCUCCUAACAUUCCUCUACUUAAAGCUAUGGCAUUUUCUGGUACAUUAACAGUCAGAUCUAGACUCUCUGAUCUGUCAAACUGGCUGAAUUUUUAGUGUGUCUUUCUGAUAUUAUCAAAGAGUGUUUUGAAUCUGUAAGGAUUCUGUCAUUACUAUAGCAUCUGCCCAGCUGUUGUACAGCACUCCUAUCUGAAGCUGCAUCCUUCUUCCAUUAAAAAUAAACUAUUAUUAAUUCCUUCAAAUGAAUGAAUGGCAAAAAUAUUCCACUGACGAAAAAAGUAACAGAAUUACUCUUUAUGCCUGUCAUAGAUGGUAUAUAUAUGUCACAGUUUAACGUGGAGAAAAUAAUUAUCAACAGACAAUAAUUACAUAUAAUUUCAUAUGAUCUGAUAUGUGCAAUUUAGUGUUUUAUUAAACAAACACAGCAGCUAACCCAAAUGUGAUCGCUGUUAAUUGAAAAUUACAUUAAAUUCUAUGUUCCUAUGGUAAUUAUUGGUCAUUUGACAUAACAUAUGCCCUAAAAUGUAAUGCAGAAAUUGAUCUUCCUGUGAAAUAAGAAAUACUGUAGAAAUAAAGUUAAGGGACAUGUUUAUUUCAGAGCCUUCUGCAAGCAAAAUUGCUUUGAUACAAAAUGAGUUCAAUAAUAAUACAGUGCUACCAUCCACUCAAGCAAAAGAAAACCUCACAUUUACAUGAAUGCACUUUAUAUUGAUAUUCUUAUAGAAUAAUAGUUCCGAUAUCCAGAAUGUGUCUGGCCUCACUGAAAGCAAUGGCACAGAAACGCUGCAAGGUAUUGGAGUAUCAUAUCACUGGCAAGUGCUUAACUCUGUGAGUUCUCUGAGGGAUGCUGUAUAAAUAAGGGUACUGUGACUGUGGGUCUGUAUUCCUUGGUAGCUUUGACACACAUCCUUUAGUGUUUGUUUCAUUAGCUCAAAAUGCACUAUUGUGUCUUUUGGCUUUUUAGUAUUCUUUUUUUUUUCUUUU